AUGGAUGGUCUCCACGGAGACGACGAGGCGCACACGUUCCCUCGCUUCCCCUACUUCUCGGCGCCGUCGACGCCGCCGCCACUCGCGUCACCACUGGCCUCGUCGUCGGACGGUCAGCACAGCCCGCUCGCCGCAGCGCUCCAGCAGCUGGCCCCGCCGCCGUGGCCGUGUACUCCUCCUGAUCUGACCCUUCAGCCGGCGAUGGGGGACGUGGACUGGUCGUCCCUGUUCCAGACGGAGCUGGUGGCUCCGCCGGAGCAGAAGGAGGAGGCCGUGCAGGCGGAUCAGAGCGGGGAGAACGACGGCGAGGCGGGUGGCAGUGGAAGUGGUAACAAGGAGAAGGCGAAGGGAAGCGCGGGGAGAUCGGGGAAGAAGAAGGCGAGCAAGCCGCGGUUCGCGUUCCAUACGAGGAGCGAGAACGAUAUCCUGGACGACGGCUACCGCUGGAGGAAGUACGGGCAGAAGGCCGUCAAGAACAGCUCCAACCCUAGGAGCUACUACCGGUGCACCCAUCCCACAUGCAACGUGAAGAAGCAGGUGCAGCGCCUGGCCAAGGACACGGCCAUCGUGGUGACCACGUAUGAGGGCGUGCACAACCACCCGUGCGAGAAGCUCAUGGAGGCGCUCGGCCCCAUCCUGAAGCAGCUCCAGUUCCUCUCCCAAUUCUAA
rnacentral:rRNA from 1 species